CAACAUAGGAAAUCUGCCUUAGGGUGGGGGACAACAGAGGGAAACUUCUGCUAAUACCCCAUAUGAGCGUACCUGCGAUGGUAUUCUUGAAAGUUCCGGCGGUACAGGAUGAGUCUGCAUCUGAUUAGCUAGUUGGUGGUGUAAUGGACUACCAAGGCGACGAUCAGUAGCUGGUUUGAGAGGAUGAUCAGCCACAAUGGGACUGAGACACGGCCCAUACUCCUACGGAAGGCAGCAG
rnacentral:rRNA from 1 species